AUCUGGUAUAUCUACAAAAUCGACAAACAAUGAUCCGUGUAUUCAAGCCCAUGUUUGGUUUGCGCCUGGCUGGUGCUAUUGGCCAACAUAAUCCAAAAACAAUGAUGAACAUCAGAAAUUAUGGCAAGCCCGAGCGUUUUAUGUGGUGCCAAACGAAAGUCAGCAAAGUACCCAAAGCCAUUUUGGCGGACGGAAAAGAAAUGCCACUGAUUGGACUUGGAACUUGGUUGAGCCCCAAAGGUCAGGUGACUGAAGCUGUGAAAGUGGCCAUUGACGCUGGGUACCGGCACAUUGACUGUGCCCACGUCUACCAGAACGAAGAUGAGGUCGGUGCUGGCAUCGAAGCUAAGAUCAAGGAGGGAGUUGUGAAGCGAGAGGAGCUGUUCAUUACCAGCAAGCUGUGGAAUACUUUCCACCGUCCGGACUUGGUCCGCAACGCCUGUGAGAACACAUUGGAAGCGUUAAAAUUGAAGUACAUCGACUUGUACUUGAUCCACUGGCCAAUGGGCUACAAGGAGGGCUGCGACCUCUUCCCAGCCGAUAAGGAAGGCAAGACCUUGUUCUCGCCAGUCGACUAUGUAGAUACCUGGAAGGCAAUGGAGAAACUGGUGGAGGAUGGUCUCGUCAAGUCCAUUGGCGUCUCCAAUUUCAACAAGAAGCAGAUCCAGCGCGUCCUGGAUGUGGCCAAAAUCCCUCCGGCAACCAAUCAGAUUGAGUGCCACCCGUAUCUGACACAAAAGAAGCUCAUUGAUUUCUGUAAGUCUCGCGAUAUUACUAUUACCGCAUACAGUCCACUGGGAUCGCCCAACCGUCCCUGGGCCAAGUCUGGCGAUCCAGUGAUUCUAGAGGAGCCUAAGAUUAAGGAGAUUGCUGAAAAGAAGAAGAAGACACCUGGACAGAUUCUCAUCCGCUACCAGGUCCAGCGCGCAAACAUCGUUAUUCCCAAGUCAGUGACCAAGGAGCGCAUCGAGUCGAACUUCCAGGUCUUUGAUUUCGUUUUGACCCCUGAAGAAAUCGAAAUAAUCGAAAGCUUCGAUUGCAAUGGUCGUCUUGUGCCUUUGCUCAAAGAGGCUGGUUGUCAUAAAUACUACCCAUUUCACGACGAGUUUUAAGCGAAAUGAAACCAAUGUCAACAGAAAAUAAAAAAAAAAUACUUAUUAUGAAAUAAUACACAUUGAAACCAAAUAAUAUUGCAAGACUAACAACGAUCGACAUUCAAGGCAAAUCUUUGUAAACAGAUAUCUGGUGUAUGCCGUUUACGGACAUCCCCACCAUCCCUUUGAGAAUGAUGAAUACUAGUUGGCAAGAGGUGCCGACCCAGUGCUACACUUUUAAAAUUUAAUUUGUUACACAAACACCUAAUGUUAAACCGUAUGAAUAAAUAAUCACAAUUGGAACUA